rnacentral:lncRNA from 1 species
AGUCUCAGCUGAGCCUCCAGAGCCUCCUUGGCUGCUGUCAUUAUUCCGUGGAGUGGCCGCACUGUCCUCACCUGCCUCGAGGCUCUGGCGCCAGCCAGACUACAUCCCUGAGGCAGCCGGGAAUCUGCGGAGACCAGGACAUAAAGAGGAGCCAGGGAUCUGUGGCGACUGCAUGGAGCAACGGCAGCUGUCAGCACGCGGCCACCAGGAGAGAGAAUGAAUCACUUCCCGCUCCACUCCUGGACUCAGAAGGAAUUGUAACCACGAAAACGAGGGGUCUCCUGGGCAGUGGUAAAGGGCCUGGCAGCUGGAGCUGAGAUGGCUUCUGAGAUGUACCACCUGGAUCCCCACGCCCACCAACCUGCCCCAGAUGGGAAAAGCACAUCUGUCCUUCAGAGCCAGCCUCACUCUGCUCAGGACUCUCCACCCUGCUCACUGGUCUGCCCCUCAGCACCCUGUCACCUCCACAAUGGGAGAGUCACAGCCUUUAGUGAAAAAUAAAAUCAAGACCAC